rnacentral:misc_RNA from 1 species
GAUGAAGAACGUAGCGAAAUGCGAUAAGUAAUGUGAAUUGCAGAAUUCAGUGAAUCAUCGAAUCUUUGAACGCACAUUGCGCCCUCUGGUAUUCCGGGGGGCAUGCCUGUUCGAGUGUCAUUAUAACCACUCAAGCUCUCGCUUGGUAUUGGGGUUCGCGGUUCCGCGGCCCCUAAAAUCAGUGGCGGUGCCUGUCGGCUCUACGCGUAGUAAUACUCCUCGCGAUUGAGUCCGGUAGGUCUACUUGCCAGCAACCCCCAAUUUUUACAGGUUGACCUCGGAUCAGGUAGGGAUACCCGCUGAACUUAAGCAUAUCAAUAAGCGGAGGA